AAAUUAAUCAUUUUAAAAGUGUUGAUUGGCCGCGAUUUAAUCAGAGUUUGCUUACGUGCAGAAAUUAAUUGAUUGCCAGGCACCCGGGCACCUAGACACCGCCAUAUGCACACUUUCCACUAACAGAAUUUCUUGUCGAUACGAGUUCUAGGCCUUUAUUUAAUCAGAACAGAUUCUCUUUAUUUUUACAAUCAAAUAAAUUUAAUUGUGAUAUUUACCGGCUCUUCGACGCAGCACAGCUGUGGCUGCUCUGCUCCUUCGUUGAAACAACAAAAUAAUCAGCCAUCCACACAAACACAAUUCAAUCAAACGGAAACUGAAACAGAAACAGAAACAUGGCUGUAACUAUUGUGGGUGUUACUGCUGUGAUCUUAGCAAGCAAACAAACAACGACCAUGUAUCAAGGUCGUUAAAUUUAUAAAUCACAGUCAGGGGGAAGGUGUGCGAACCUCGGCCUGAGGCAAGCAUUUGUCGAGUGCUUCGCGGUUAGCAGACACGGAUCGUGUUUGUCCGUUGGAAAGCAACCAGAAAGGCGUCUGCUCACGGGCCAAGUCAUCAGGAGAGGAGAGGCCCUUCUUCUGGUGACAGUCUGCAAAGUGCUCCAGCAAGGCCAACGAAUCUGCAUGAGAAUGAACCGGACGAGAAGUCUGCAAUCAAAUGCGCAGCUUUAAAUACUUAAUUUAAAGCGCAGCAAACAAUUUAAGUGUAAAAUGUAAAUAAACAAGCAGAACUGCACAAUGUAGUGUGGCCAUAUAUUGCACGGCAGGGAUUUUGGCAGCGGCCGAGUGUGACCAGACGCGACGCUUGCACUGCUCAGUCAGCUGUUUUUUGUUUACAAAUCUAAGUACUUGAGCUUGAGCGAAAACACGUGCUAUUAAUUUAAUUAAAUGCAAUAAAAGAGUAUGUAAAUACGUAAGUGCAGUGUGCGGACAAGAAGCAAAUCGGAACAAAAGUCAGUUGAUGCCCCGACGAAUCUUCCUUCGUACAGGUGUGUCCUGGCCACAGCUUGGCAGCUGAAACCGAAUUAGGCCGAAUACUUGUCCAGCAUUCAAUCGGGGAGUUUCUUGGACUCGCGGACUUGGACUGGAAGCAGUGCCUGGCCGAUACGACAGCUUUAGCACAUUGGACAUUGGACAUUGAAGUACAUAGCCUCCAUUUCAUUUGUUGUCGCAUCCAACUCUGUGUGGCCAUAAAGCAGCGCAUCUGUUGCACACAUGGGCAAAAAAAAAAGUUGCCAGGCGGAAACAAACUAGUUGGAGGCAGCCCAACAAUUCAGGAAGAUUCACUUGGUGUGUGCGCGUCGAGCCUGUUGCCACAUGAACAGAACAUUUUAUUAGAUUACACAUUCGCCGGAUCCUACAUAUUGGCAGAAAAGUUAUCAUGGCAGCGCGCUGCAUCGUUGUGGGAGGGGGGGGGAUCGGCACGGGAAGAGUGUCAGAGUCAGAGUGCAAAUUUUUUACGACUCCCAGCGGAUGUUUUGAUACGUUUUUAUGAGACGCGCGCGUGCUGUAAGCAAUGGCGACUUCCGCCCGGCCGGCCUAGGCUCGACCCCUACCCUACUCUAUUCCUGCUGCUGCUGCUGCUGCUGGCACUGCCCUUAUCGCACUGUUGAGCAUUUGGUUGAUG